rnacentral:rRNA from 1 species
CCGACUGCUAUUUGGGUGAGAAUAAGCCAUGCGAGUUGAAUGGGAUACCUAAAGUUCCCAUAGCAAACUGCUCAGUAACACAUGAUCAACUUACCCUAUAGAGAAAAAUAACCUCGGGAAACUGAGGAUAAUGUUUCAUAAUUGAAUUGGCUUGGAAAAGUUUUUCAAUGAAAGGGAUAAAAAAAAUGGUUUUUAUCUGCUAUAGGAUAGGAUCGUGUUCGAUUAUGGUUGUUGGUGUGAUAAUGGCUCACCAAGCCGAUAAUCGAUAGGGGCCGUGAGAGCGGGAGCCCCGAGAUGGGUACUGAGACACGACCCAGGCCUUACGAGGCGCAGCAGGCGCGGAACCUCCGCAAUACACGAAAGUGUGACGGGGUUACCCAAAGUGUUCAAUAGAACUGUGGUAGGUGAGUAAUGGCCCCUACUAGAAAGGAGAGGGCAAGGCUGGUGCCAGCCGCCGCGGUAAAACCAGCUCCUCAAGUGGUCGGGAUAAUUAUUGGGCUUAAAGUGUCCGUAGCCGGUUUAGUAAGUUCCUGGUAAAAUCGGGUAGCUUAACUAUCUGCAUGCUAGGAAUACUGCUAUACUAGAGGGCGGGAGAGGUCUGAGGUACUACAGGGGUAGGGGUGAGAUCUUAUAAUCCUUGUAGGACCACCAGUGGCGAAGGCGUCAGACUGGAACGCGCCUGACGGUGAGGGACGAAAGCCAGGGGAGCGAACCGGAUUAGAUACCCGGGUAGUCCUGGCCGUAAACGAUGCAUACUAGGUGAUGGUACGGCCAUGAGCCGUAUCAGUGCCGUAGGGAAACCGUUAAGUGUGCCGCCUGGGAAGUACGGUCGCAAGGCUAAAACUUAAAGGAAUUGG